GGUGCGAGCGUUGUCCGGAAUCACUGGGCGUAAAGGGCGCGUAGGCGGGCUGUCAAGUCUGGGGUGAAAUCCCGCGGCUCAACCGUGGAACUGCCUUAGAUACUGACGGCCUCGAGGGAGAUAGGGGCGAGCGGAACUGUGAGUGGAGCGGUGAAAUGCGUUGAUAUUCACAGGAACUCCGGUGGCGAAGGCGGCUCGCUGGAUCUUUUCUGACGCUGAGGCGCGAAAGCUAGGGGAGCAAACGGG
rnacentral:rRNA from 1 species